rnacentral:RNase_P_RNA from 1 species
AAGGUACGCCAGACGAUUGCUAUUGGCGCUCAUGCUCGUAGAGGAAAGUCCGGGCUGCUAUAAGACAAGGUUCCAUCUAACAGAUGGCUGAGGCAACUCAAGGGAAAGUGCAACAGAAAACAAACUACCGAGAAAUCGGAAAAGGUGAAACGGCGGGGCAAGAGCCCACCAGCGUCUUUAGCAAUUUAGACGGCUUUGUAAACCCAACCUGCAGCAAGAAGGGGUGGUAAGUCUUAUGAUUGUACCCUUCGCUAAAACCACGCCGC